UGGCCGCCUCCGAGGCGCGGAGCACACUGUUUCUGCCUUUCUAGGGGGUUUGGGGGCUCUUUGUCCGGUCAGAGGCCACCAACAGCCCCCCAGGUUGCCGAGGGCCUGCUAACUGUGUUCCUGGGAGGUGGGCGAGUGACCUGAGGGGUUAACUUUGGGACUGUAGUGGUUUUCCCGGCCGAAAGGCCUCUGGCUGCUACAGGCUUGGUGAGGGGAGGGUCCAGCCUGCCAGACCCUGGCCGUCUGGCCGUCUGCCUCUGAAAAGUUGGGUUGGUCAGCAUCUAGGAGUUUAGCAGUGUGCUUUUGGGUGUUGUAGUUUGUGUCCGGCACCUUUCCCUUUUCACACAGCAUUUGGCUCUGUUUAUUUAGUCCUUGGUGCUCAGGACCCUCUUUAGGGUUAAGUUGGGAUCAUUUUCUUUGGGUCCAGGGGGACUUAUGCAAGAACUGGAAUCUUAGAAGGUGUGUACAGCGGUGUCCUGGGUGUCUAUUGUCUGGGGUGUAAGGAAUUGCAUGGAUGUGAGCAAUUUCACGAAUCUGUGAAUGUGUGGCUAGCUUUUUAUUGCAUGUGGUGGACUUUAUCCUAGUUUGCUAAUGCUGAGAGGCUGUGUCAGGCAGUUCCUGCUUGUGAAAUGCUUUUCUGUUAACUUGGAUGUGUUCUUAAAUCUUUGGGAGCUUCAGAGGGGUGUUUUGCAGUUGUUGUGGGAAGAUGUGUGUCUAAAACUGAAUUUUCAAAAACUGUCAGAAUCACAAGUAACUUUAGUUCUAGGGAGCAACCCCCCUUGGCUUUCCUGGUACUGCAGAGUUGUCGGGGGUUCUUUUAUGGAAAUCAGGUUUGCUCUCAGGUGUGUUACCUUACUCUUGGCUCAUAGGGUUCCUCUGCAUGUUGAGACUCAGCUGUUUGGUAUCAGGUACUCUUUCCACACUUGAGACAAAAUGGAGCACUGUGUUUUGACAUGUAAUUACAUGUAUCAGAAUCUCAGGGUAACAUCAGAUUGCUGUGCACCUCAGGACCUGUUUUACCUGUCCGUACAAAGUUGGAUCUCACUGUGUCUGCCACUGUGUACUAGUACUUGCAUAAAUUUUGCCUUGUUUCUGUGUUCUGGGUGUUGACUACAUAACCUGAGGCAUAACUGGUCACAAAAAGCCAUUUCUCAAACAGUAUUAUUAAAAAGUUUUGGAGCACUGGGGUCUAGGAAAUUUUUUCACUUAAGUUGGAUGAAAUAAGGGAUUUGAAAUAAGGUAUAACAAAAGUUUUGGAAUUCAGCUACCAAUUUUUAGUUUUAGGGGCAGCCACAUGACUUGAUCUAGAAAAAGUUUAAUUAAAAAAACCUGUUGCAUUCUUUGUUGGUAUAUUAGAGCACAUAAAGACUCAUUGUGUUUUCAUACAUUAUUUAAAAAACAUCUUUGAAGAAUGUGAUGAGUGGGAGUCUCAUAAUUCCCCUCUUCUUUGGAUUUGCUUAGUAUUUGACUACUUCAGAAUGUUGUUGUGACAGAGAAAGGAACAAAGCUGGCUAAGUUUAUAUGUGAUUUCUGUUGAAAGUGAUGUCAGUUACAGAUUGAGACUCAGGAAGGUAUUUCCUUCCCUCUGACUUAACCCCAGUAUCUCAGAGUAUUAACUCACUCAGCGGGGGAAUUGGGUCUGUGAUCCCAGCUACUUAGGAGGUGGAGGCAGUAGGAUCAAAAGUUCAAGGCCAGCCUUGGUUUCCUGAGCCCCUGUCUCAAAAUUAAAAAUGACUGGGGAUGUGUCUCGGUGGUAAAGCACCCCUGGGCUUAAUUCCCAAAUAAGUACACAAUAAGUAAAUAUAUAUUAACUCGUAAGUUGAAAAAAGAUUGAGAAAUUUAUUUUUAAAUGACCCACACUGUUUUUAUUUGGUGAUAUGGUAAAAUAACAUUGAUUCUGGUGAAUUGGUUUUGUAUCUUAGAAAGUCUGAAUGUUGGAGUUUAGAUUUGUAGAAUCAUUGAAAACUAACCACAACCAAAGUGUUAAUUUGCUUUGAAAGAAGUUGCAUAAAUUUUUAUUGCCAGGUAGAACAAAUGAUUCAUUAGAAGGUGUCUGAAGGUGCUUUGUGAAUGAAAGAGUAUUUACUUGGUUAAGUUUAGAGAUAAACUCAUCUCUACAUUUACAGAACCCUUUUGGAUGUUCAUAUAAAUACCUACCUCUCUCCAUGAAAUAGUAAGAUUUUGCACCCAAGAAUUCUCUCAUUUUAUCCUUGAGGGCUUAUGGUACUCCAUUUUCUACUCUCAUCACUCCAGUUCUGCUACUGGUGUAAAAUGUCUUUAAAACUUGCAAAGACAACAAUAGGUGAUUUAGAAAGAAAGCAUGGUAAGACCCAAUUAUCUUUUCUGUAGAGUGAUUCUUAAGAUUGUAUGGACACAUUUGAUAGAUAUGUCAAUAACUGUCUUUUUGAAACUUAGGGUUUAUAUGGUUUCACCAAAACUCCUUUCAAUAAGACAUAACACCAAAGAAUAAUUUUCUUGACCAAGGUGUUAUAAAUGAAAGCUUUUGGUUAUAGUGUUCAUUUAAAAAUGAAAUAUAUAAGCUUCUGAAUUAUAGAAUUUGAAGAUGACAAAAAAUAAUUUUUUUAAAAACCCCAAGUUUUCAUUUUAGAUUGUAGCUGAUAUAGAGACACUAGGGAGGGAUUUGGAUAGGAGUAUCUGGGGCUUUUACUGUGGUCCUUUCUAUUCUCAUUUUCCAUUGCUAAGAGUAAACAGUUCUUACUGGAGCAUUUCUGCAUCUGUGAAUAUUUGUGAGCAGUAAAAUUGCAUAAGAACAACAAGUCACCCAUUUAGAAUUUGAUCUUUAUUUUUCUUUCUUUGGGAGUGGAGGGUAACCAGGGAUUGAACUCAGGGACACUUGACCACUGAGCCACAUCCCCAGCCUUAUUUUGUAUUUUAUUUAGAGACGGUCUCACUGAGUUGCUUAAUGCCUCACUUUUGCUGAGGCUGGCUUUGAAUUUGAGAUCUUCCUGCCUCAGUCUCCUGAGCUGCCGGGAUUACAGGCCCUACGUUACAGGUGUGUGCUGCUGUGCCUGGCUAAUUUUAAUUUUUAUUUAAGAGGAAGAAUUGUUUAUUGUAUAGUUUGUGGACUUGCGUGUAGUCUUCUCAACCCAUUUUGUGUGGUUUCAAAUUGCAUUACUCUUACACAUGGAAUGUAUUUCCAUCUCCCACCCCCAAGAGGUUACUGAGUUCUUGGGGAGAAAUGGAUAAAGUAUUUUUAAAAUUUCCAUGCCUAUCAAUGAUUAAUUUUAUUUCUUGAUUCUUCCUGCAUGCAUUUCCAGGACAGAAUACAUUAUCUUUGCUCUGCUAGGCCCAAUAUUUUAAAGUCACAAUAUUAAUUACAUUUGUAUGGGAAGGACAGAGCAAAUCAACAGUUAUUUCAAAAUAUAUAAUGUAGAUUAAAAAGAUGCUAAUUGAUUUCUGAUUAGUGAAAUCAUAUGCAUGUGUCUUGCCACUUCAUUCUGUGUCAUAAAGCUUUAUCCUCUGCCUUCCUUGUUUUUCUGUUUUCUUGCUUUCUCCCUCAGUAUAACGGUGUGGUUCUAGAAUUUAAAUGACAUUUUUGUUUUCCAGGGGGAAAAAAAAUUUCCAAAUCAUUUGCUUUUAACUUUUAAAAUCCUGAGCCAGUGACUUUUUUAAACCUCACCACAAAGUGCCAGAAUUUGGCCAGCAAAAAUCCUCCAAGAUGCAUGCUAUAGUUGCCUUUUCUGUUACUGAAAGAACGAUCAAGGCUCAUCCUUGGAGAAAAUGCCCCUUUAUUGAGGAAUAGCUCGAAUAUCUAUAGAGCCAUGGGUGGUUUGACAAUUAUGACAGUUUAAUGGUUGAAGGGUUUGACAGUUGGCAUGGGGUGCUUUCUGGGAAGGACAUGUGAGCCAGCAGGGCUCACCAUUGGAUGGUUCUUCUGUGGGGGGGGGAUGGGGAAGUUAGUCUUCGGAGCCAGGGCGACUCCCAACAGUUACCAACAGUCUGAACAGUGAAGACAGAGAUGCAAAACUGGUCUUUUUCAGAAGGAAUUUGAAAAACACUUCUUGCCUGACAUGCUCAUGAAAUAUUUGUGAAGAUUGAUUUGGAUGAUAUAAGAAAAAAUCCUUGAAUUCACAUAAAAGAAUAGAACACAGCUUUGUAUAUAUUUACUAAUCUAAAAAAAAAAAUUAUGGGGCUGGGAUUGUGGCUCAGUAGUAGAGUGCUCACCUAGCAUGUGGGUUCGAUCCUCAGCACCACAUAAAAAUAAAUAAAGGUAUUGUGUCCAACUACAACUAAAAAAUAAAUAUAAAAAAAUUAUUUGUUAACCACUUUCAUUCUUGUUUUCAAACUCUAAAUUCAUGUUUCUCUAUUUUAAUUUUUUUUUUAAAAGGCAUUUUGGUGGUUUUUUGUUUUUGUUUUUGUGGAGGCAGCUAUAUAUGUAUUAAAGAGUGGUCAAUUUGUUCCUUUUCAUUUUAGUAUUGACCUACUACUUAGAGUAUAUGUAGUUUGUAAGAGAAAAAGAGGGGGGCGCAGUUUAAAGUGUAGACAUUAAUGGGGCUGGAGGUGUGGCUCAGUGGUAAUGAACUUGCCUAGUAUACAGGAGGCCCUGGAUUCGAUCCCCAGCACUGCAGAAAAAAUAAAAGAAGAAGAUAUUAAUGAUUUAAAACUAUUUUAUAUCAUUUGCUCUAAUUAUAUUAGAAUUUGAACCUGUAGUAAAUUAUAAUGAGAAUUUUUAAACAUUGUAAAAUGGCUUAUUCCCAGAUAAGAUACUAUAUAUUUUGUGUUAAUUUUUUUUUCUUUUUGUUUUUUUGUUUUGAGCACAAUAGAGCAUGUCAGCUUUAAUCAUACAAGUACUCUAGGCCUAGGAGGUAAUUUUCUUAUAUGUAUAGGGCUACAUAAUUUUUUCAUUCUAACCAAACAUUUUUUAAAGGGAAACCAAUACUAAAUUAAAAUGAAGUUGACUCUCAUUAUAUUAUUCUGUUUGAGGGGGAAGUAUUCUAAAGUUAAAACCUUCUUAUUUUGCUUUUGCUGUACUAGGGAUGGAACCCAGGACCUUGUGCCUGCAAAGUGACAGUGACAAUGUCCUGGAUAAAUUUGCUGGAACCAUCAUUAGAUCUGCUGAUGCUACAAAGAAAACCAGUUAAUAUGUCAAGAUUGCUAUUUCAAGAUAUGAUAUGUCAGGAUGUGUCAACUGAUGUGGCAAGAUUUCACUAUGGUAUUUUUAAUGAUAUGUAUGUUUAAGAAAAUUUUUUUGAAGAUGUAGGUGGACAGCAGGCCUGUAUUGUAUUUGUUUAUUUUUAUAUGGUUCUAAAGAUCAAACCCAGUGCCUCACAUGUGCUAGGCAAGCACUCUUCCACUGAGCUACAUACAGCUCCAGCCCCUUUAAUGAUAUAUUAUUGAGUGGAUAAAAAAGUAGUGGAUUAUUAUCACAGUUUUUACUUUUAAAAAGGUAUGUGUGACUAGGCAUGGUGGUGCAUGCCUGUAAUCCCAGUGGCUCUGGAGGCUGAGGCAGGAGGAUUUUUAUUUCAAAGUCAGCCUCAGCAAUUUAACAAGGCCCUAAGCAACUCAGUGAGAGCCUGUCUCUAAAUAAAGUACCAAAAAGGACUGGGGAUGUGGCUCAAUGGUUAAGUGCGCCUGGGUUCAACCCCCAUACCAAAAAAAAGGAAAAAGGUAUGUGUGUACAUCUGUUGUAUAUAGAUUUAUAUCUACAUGGAAAAGGAAAUGGACAAAUACAAUCCAAAUUGCCAGAUAUGAUGAGUGGGAAUGGGAAAUGAGGUAGCAUGCUUUUCUAUUUUAUAUGAUUUUCUGUCUUUGAAACUAACAACUAAGGAAAAUAUUAAAACUGUGUUUUCAAAUCCAUUUUUCCCAAAAUUACUGAUUUCUGUUUAUUUUGAGAAAUAUAUUUACAGAAGACUCCAAGAAAUGUGAACCUAAUUUUUUUAUUUUUAUUUAUUUAUUUAUUUAUUGUAGUUGUUGAUAGACCUUUAUUUUAUUUAUUCAUAUGUGGUGCUGGGAAUCGAACCCAGUGCCUCACACAUGCCAGGCAAGUACACUACUGCUGAGCCACAGCCCCCUAAGUUUUUUAUUUGUUAUUUAUUUAUUUUUAGUUGUAGAUGGACACAAUAACUUUAUUUAUUUAUAUUUUUAUGUGGUGCUGAGGAUUGAACCUAGUGCCUCACACGUGCUAGGCAGGUGCUCCUCCAAUGAGCCACAACCCCAGCCCUGACCCUAAGUUUUAUUAUUAAAAAGGUGGUAGAAUAGAAAGCUGCUGGGCUGGGAUUGUGGCUCAGUGGUAGAGCGCCCGCCUAGCAUGGGUGGGACCCAGGUUCGAUCCUCAGCACCACAUAAAAAUAAAGGCAUUGUGUUGUGUCCAUCUAUACCUAAAAAAUAAAUAAAUAAAAUGUUUAAAAAAAAUAAUAAAGGCAUUCCAUCUACACCUAAAAAUAAAUAUUAUAUUAUUAAAAAAAAAAGAAAGAAAGAAACAUGCUGGCAUUUUUGUGUGAGGUGGCUCAGUGUUAGAACCAGGCCUAUUGCACUGCAGAUGUACUUACAAAGUUCAACUUAACAGCUGGUUUCCUACUUGGAAAAAUAGAGUUGUUCUUGUGACACUUGAAUAAUGUAUGUGUGAUCACUUUGAAAAUGCUAAUGUGACAUUGAAACCAUAAUAUAUCCUAAUGUUGCUUUCUUAUGGUAAUAUUCGUUAAAGCAGCCAAAUAUUAAUGUUUUUGAAAACUCCUAAUUUCGAAUGCUAAAGUUUCUGUUUCUUUUAAAUUGGUUCGUUCAUCACAAACUUUUUAAUUUUGUUUUUCUUUUUUUUUAAAUUUUUUUUUGUAGUUGUAGAUGGACACAAUCAAUGCUUUUAUUUAAUUUGUUUAUUUUUAUGUGGUGCUGAGGAUUGAACCCAUACCCUCAUGCCCCAGGCAAGUGCUCUGCCACUGAGCUAUAGCCCCAGCCCUUUAAUUUUGUUUUUCAACCCAGGAUUGGACCACUGAAUUUAGCUUCUAGGAAAUUCCCUAAUUACAGAAUUUUCUUUCAUUAUAUCGAAUUACUCCCGAUUUCAUCAUGAAAAUCUGGUUUGAAACUCAACUUACAAAAAUACUGAAAAUGAAUUUCAAAUUAAAUGGGAAUAUUUGUAUACUAAUGUGAUACAAUAGUGUUGUUUCACAUUUUUCCAUGUUAAAGACUAUUCUGAACUCAAAAUCUUUUAAGUAAAUAAAUAAUACUGAAAUCUA